rnacentral:rRNA from 1 species
GUGUCAGCCGCCGCGGUAAUACGGAGGGUGCAAGCGUUAUCCGGAAUCACUGGGUUUAAAGGGUGCGUAGGCGGUUGUAUAAGUCAGGGGUGAAAGCACGCAGCUUAACUGUGUAAUUGCCUUUGAUACUGUACGGCUUGAAUAGGGUUGAGGUUGGCGGAAUGUGACAUGUAGCGGUGAAAUGCAUAGAUAUGUCAUAGAACACCGAUUGCGAAGGCAGCUGACUGGGCCUAUAUUGACGCUGAGGCACGAAAGCGUGGGGAGCGAACAGGAUUAGAUACCCUGGUAGUCCACGCCCUAAACGAUGUAUACUCGUUGUUUGAGAGUAAUCUUGAGCGACCAAGCGAAAGCAUUAAGUAUACCACCUGGGGAGUACGCCCGCAAGGGUGAA